rnacentral:lncRNA from 1 species
CGUAGCAUCAGUGGACUGUACAACAGAGUACCACGAGCGGGUUAUAGCUUCAUUGGGCCGUAGCUUAGGAUUGAAUUUUUUGUAAUAUUUUUUUUUGGUUGUUUUUAUUUUUCUGUAUUUGAUGGGCUUGUAGCCCACUGUCAUUGUUAGUCUUAGCUUUAGGUUUGGUUUGUAAAUGGCCAUUAUAUAAAGUCCAAGUUUGGAAGAGUCCUUGGUGCUCUUUCAAAUCUUGGC